UACGGGGGGGGCAAGCGUUGUUCGGAAUUACUGGGCGUAAAGGGUUCGUAGGUGGCCAACUAAGUCAGACGUGAAAUCCCUCAGCUUAACUGGGGAACUGCGUCUGAGACUGGAUGGCUUGAGUGCAGGAGAGGAACGCGGAAUUCCAGGUGUAGCGGUGAAAUGCGCAGAUAUCAGGAGGAACACCGAUGGCGAAGGCAGCUCACUGGGACGGUACUGACGCUGAGGCGCGAAAGCGUGGGGAGCAAACAGG
rnacentral:rRNA from 1 species